ACACUCCUACGGGAGGCAGCAGUGGGGAAUUUUGGACAAUGGGCGAAAGCCUGAUCCAGCAAUGCUGCGUGAGUGAAGAAGGCCUUCGGGUUGUAAAGCUCUUUUGUCAGGGAAGAAACGGUGAAAGCUAAUAUCUUUUGCUAAUGACGGUACCUGAAGAAUAAGCACCGGCUAACUACGUGCCAGCAGCCGCGGUAAUACGUAGGGUGCAAGCGUUAAUCGGAAUUACUGGGCGUAAAGCGUGCGCAGGCGGUUUUGUAAGUCUGAUGUGAAAUCCCCGGGCUCAACCUGGGAAUUGCAUUGGAGACUGCAAGGCUAGAAUCUGGCAGAGGGGGGUAGAAUUCCACGUGUAGCAGUGAAAUGCGUAGAUAUGUGGAGGAACACCGAUGGCGAAGGCAGCCCCCUGGGUCAAGAUUGACGCUCAUGCACGAAAGCGUGGGGAGCAAACAGGAUUAGAUACCCUGGUAGUCCCA
rnacentral:rRNA from 1 species